rnacentral:rRNA from 1 species
AUAAUAUUUAUUUUUUAUUUAUAGGAAAAAAAAUUAUAAGUCUUCAGUACUUUUGAAGAAAAAAGAAAAAAAAAUGUUUUUGAAAAGGUAAAAUGUCAUAAUUUUAAAAAAAGAAUAAUUAAUAAUUAGUACCUUUUGUAUCAGGGUGAUAGGAAUUAAAAAAAAGAUUUUUUUUUCCCGAAAAAAAAAGAAAUAUUUAAAAAUAAUUUUUUUUGUUUCAAAAAAAUUUUGAAUUUUUAAAUAGAAGUUAAAAGUUUUAUCGUUUUUUUAUAUAUCUGGUUAUUUUCGAAAUUAAUUUAAUUAAUUUAUUUUUUUUUAAAAAAAAAAUAAAAAAGAUAUUAGGGGAUUAGCUCUGAUAUGUUAUUAAUCUUUUUUUUUUUAUUUAUAAAAAAUAAUUAUUUUUUUUUAUAAUAGUACAUUAUACAAUAGUAAAAUUAUUAUUACUAUUUUUCAAAAAAAUUGAAAUAUAUGAUUGAUAUUUUUUUAAUUAUUUUUUUAAAUGAUAUUGAAUUUUUAUGAAAAGUUUUAAAAAUAGGAAAUAAUUUUUUUUAAUUUUUUUUAAAAAAAUAAAAUCUUUCAAUUAGGUAAAAUAAAUUAAAAAAUUAAAAUAAGGAACUCAGCAAAUAUUAAUUCUGCCUGUUUAAUAAAAACAUGUCUUCUUGAAAAAAUAGGAAGUCGAUCUCUGCUCAAUGCGUAGAAAGUAAAUAGCCGCAGUAUUUUUGACUGUGUUAAGGUAGCAUAAUAAUUUGUCUUUUAAUUGGAGACUGGAAUGAAUGGUUUGACAAGAAUUAAACUGUCUCAUUUUAAUAAUUUUAAAUUUAACUAUAAGUUAAAAUGCUUAUAUAUUUAAAAGGGACGAGAAGACCCUAUAGAUCUUUAUAAGUGAGUUAAAUAUAUGUAAAAAAAAAAUUUUUUUAUAUUUAACCAUUUAUUUUCUUGGGGUGAGAAAAAUAUUUUAAACAUUUUUUUAUUAAAAAUAUUUUAACUAAAAAGACGAUCCACUACAUGUGAAAAAAGAAAAAGUUACCUUAGGGAUAACAGCAUAAUUUUUUAAUUUUAGCACACAUAAAUUUAAAAGUUUAUGACCUCGAUGUUGAAUUAAGCUUUCAUGGAAAAGCAGAAAUUUCCAUAGUUAGUCUGUUCGACUAAUAAAAGCUUACAUGAUUUGAGUUUAGACCGACGUGAGUCAGGUCAGAUUCUAUCUUUUUAUAAAAUUUAUUUCCUCAGUACGAAAGGAUAGGGAAAUAUAUUUAUUUGGUAAUAUAAGAUUACAAAAAC